GGAACUGGAUGAGCACUGUGGGCCUUUUCAACCCAGGCCAUUCUGUGAUUCGAUGAUUCUAUGAUCAUUUCCCUUCCAGUGGCCACAGAUACCCUGGGCAACACAGUCGACCCCUGAAGCUGGGUCUGACUUCGAAGUGGGCCCUGCUCUGCACACAACAUCGGGCAGUGGCCUCCAGAGCUGCUUCUAAACCAAAAGGUUCCUUGCCUGAAAUGCUAUUUCUUGCAGGUGAAAGAUUGCCACUGUUUCGCACUGCAGCCGCUCACUGAUGUGGAUCUACUGUGUCAGUCACUCCACCACUGUAAAUACAGAACGGCUUUAUUCAAGUCCCUGAGGCUUAAUCAGCCUGCUUUUAAAACAGCUUGGUAAGAGAAAUUGCCCUUAGCUAACAAAUUGAUUGUAGAGGUGUAUUUUUUCAAGAAGAUCAUUCUCCUUGUUUAAUCCUUCUUUUUUUUUUUUUUUUGUAAGUCAUCACCAAGGGGCCAAACUUAACUUAAAAGUGGGUUAACAUAUUAUAAGCAAGGUCAUUUUUCUUUGUUCCUGCAACCGCUCUGAUUAUAUGGUGAGAGGAGACAUAAGCUUGACCUGGUGGACAUUGCUGUGAACUUGCACUUUGGACUUCCCGGGAGUCCUUGAACAGGCCACUCACCCUGUGCUGUACUUCAGUCUCCUGUCUGCAAAAUGCAGCUAAAGCUUCCCUGCUGGGCAGGGGCACUGUGAGUAAAGCCCUGUAAGGAUUGCAAGAUGCUUAAAAACAGCACCAGUGAUGGCCACAUAAGUGCCAAGAACAGAUAUGUAUCUACAUAUCCAGACAGCUGCAGACUUAUUGUGACUCAAUCAAGUUUAAACAUCUUAAGAUAAAAGCUGCUAUUUCAAGCUUCUUAGGCUCAAGGAAAUCCAUAAUAAAAACAAACCAUCAACAUAGAAAUAACUGGGCUUAUUCACACUCAGAAGAAGUGGGAGAUUUCACUUGUCAAGGUCACUUUUGAGACCUUGACAGACUGAGAAGAAAAUAAAAAAUCCAAUGCAUGAAAACCAUGACAGAAAAAGAUGCAAGAUUAAAGCUUCUUUCCUCACCACUUAUUCAAAUGGGGAAAAAAAUCCAGCCCUUUACCUCCAGUCAAAUACUCUUGCACACUGAAACAGGGAGAAUAAGUUUACGUACAGCAAGUUCAAAUCUAGCUUUCCUGAGAUACUUUGAGGAGUUUCUUCAGAGGAAACUCAGUUAAACUUGACUGCACUCUUGCUACAUAUUGUUGGAGUGUCAGAAGAUAAAUGUCUCAUGAUUUGCCCUUUCUUUAUCAGCUCUGAGACAGUGGCUUAGUUGAAACUGAGAAAUUACAAGGCUAGCUUUAAUUCUUAACCUUCUGGAUAGAGAUUUUCUUUGUAAAUACUGGCACACAGGAAAUAAUUUUCUUUAAAUAUGCUGGAAUGACACUUGCAGAGUUUUGAACAAAAGGAAAUUCUGAUCUGGCAGUGGCACAAAAUGGGUCCUGUUGCCUCCUUGGCUCUUGUUUCAAACUCUUACAGUCAUGUGCACUGACAUGAAUAAGGAACAUAAUUCACCCACAACCAUACAAACUUUUAGAGCAAAGAUGAGCCUGAGUCCAAAGUCCACCCUGCAGCUCCCGAAUCCCAGAGUUAGAGUUGUGUCAAACCUCAGUUCUAGUAUGAAGAGUAUUAACUACAGAACCAUAUUCACAGAAACACAGACAUACUGCCUUUCCCAAGUGAGAGAUUUAAACUUGCAUGGGCUUAAUUAUAUCCUUAUCCCCAUAACUAACAACUAAAUGAAACUCAGUGCUAUGCACUGUGUGGAAAAUGAACUCUUCAGUAUUACCUUAGCCUUGUUAACCAGGAUAUUUUUUGUGUGUCUGUCCAAUGUGGACAAACUGUACAUUCAGCAUAAUCAAUUAAUGUUGUUAAUUAUUCAUGAGUUAAUUUUUGCAGAGAAGGCCUGGAAUCUUUCCUGGAGCAGAUCUGGUGUUCUUUCACUUCUGCAUUUCAGUGAGCCCCUUUGGUCUGAAGCUUCCUCCUACCAGGUUGCUUCAUUUCUCUGCGUCAGAGGACACGCAUGUGAUACAUAAAGCACGAAAUGGAUAUCAAAGAGCAUUGUUAAUUGACAGAAGAGAUGUUAUUAUAGAAUUGUCAGUUACCUUUUGCUGCUGAUACCCAUCAACUCUAAUAGAAAUGUUAGAACACAGAACUGGAAAGGACCAUCUGGAACCAUCUGUAAGCCGUUCCUAGCACUGUGGGCUACUAUAAAUUAGACAUUUAAUCACAAACAGUGCAUAGAACAUCUUCUCCACAUGACACGGGCCAUAAAACAAUUCGCGUGUAACACAAUUAAGAAAGAUGAUGAUUAAUAAUGAACAUCCAGAACUGUAAUGUGCCAUAAAAAGAACACAGCAUCAAGCCCCAUCAACUUCUGAGAACCGGAGAAUAUAUAAUUUGGGGGUAGAAUGAUCUUAAGAGAUAAAGUGUGAGUUUUGCUGUAAGGAGGCAAAAAUAAAACCAAAACAGCUUCCGUUACUGUGACCCGGGAGAUUUCUUCAUUACCUCAAACCUUGCAAUCCACUUAGCUUGGACUAUGUGACCCAGAUUCGCCUCCCACUCACUUGCUGGAGUGGAGUUCAUGAUGGAAGUGUAUGUUCAUCUCAUUUUCAUUUUCCCCCACUGGUAGUACCACACUCUAAUCUGAGCAACAUACUCUGAUGUUCUAACACAGUAGUAAGUACUGCUGACUUACGUGCACUUGGUUAGCUAGCUCUAUUACAAUGUAUGCAGACCUCUAUGAAUACAUGUCUCCUGUAAAAUGGCAUGCCACUAUUAAAUUAAAUCUGAGACAAAAUGUUUACAAAUUACUCUGAAGCCACAUGAAACAUUCUAGGAAUUGUUCCUUGUGAAUACAUUUUGACAGACACUGUGCAUCUCCUGUGCAGGACAAUGCAGUGUUAUGAUAGUUGCUGAGAACAUUUUUACAGGAAAUGUAUCUUGAUUUUCAGUAUUACUGUGGUUUACUGAAUACCAAUUGGGUGAAGAACAGACAACAUUUUUCCCUUCUCCUCUAACUUUACAAAUAGCAAAUGCUAUGUAGUUUGAUCUUGUGAUACUUUCCAGGGAGAUAUCUUUCUGUGGGCAUAAAGUCUAUGAAGAUCUACAGCAUCUGAUCCCAUAGGUCAUUUGACUUCUGAUGAUAAGCAUCCACCCGGGGCAGUGGUAUGGUCAGUGGAGAAUGUGAAGACAGGGCAAGGAAAGGUGCCUUCAGUUUAGCAACUCCAGCCUACAUCCCCUUCUCACCAGCUAUAGAUGGCUUUCACCAUACAUCCACUGCUCUUCAGCCAUUAGGUAGGUUAGAAAAAUCUACAGAUGUCCACGCAGAAGUGCAACUCCUGGCUAAUUUUCAUGGUCUGAUUCUGUUCUAUAAAGAUUUAGGGGUGUCUUUGCAGUGCACUGGUCUGCUGCCAAUGGCCUUGUAAGGAAAACAAGCAUCAUUUGAGGUUAUAUUAAAUCUAUAGAUGAAAAAAUGCAUCAAAAAUACGGUCUGAAAGAUAGCCUUUCUUUCUAUUCAUUCCGAGUAAGUCUUCCUUGUAUGGUGUGACUGCUUAAUCUAAAAAGGAAAAAUAAUGGCUAAUGGACCUUUUUAUUAGAUGGCUUUAGGGUUUGAGGUGCUGUUAUCUUCUGGCACUAGGGCCAGGCUGAAUCUGAGGGGUUUCAGUUAGCCACAGUCAUAAAACAGAAUAUAAAACAACUGUGCAGAAGUGAAAAAAAAAAAAAAGAGCUUACCACAUCUUUUAGUUUCCCUUGAUCCUCAUGGGCUGAUGAAGAAAUAUGUGGCCUCUGUAAAUGGAAGGUAUUCCAUAAAUACAUUGAGUGGAGCCUACAGCAUCCCAGAGGAGCUAUUCAUCAACUUCAACAGGAAUAUGCAACGGGAGGCCUUCACUGAAUUAAAAACAACAGGAAAAAAAGAGCUAUCCACUUAUCUCAUCAUUUGGUUAUCUCUGAUUUCAAGGAGUGCACAGAAACGUUAAGCUCUCACUAGACUUUUUAUAAGAGCUCCUAAGCCCAGUGUCUUUUUUUCCCCUGAAGUACAGGAGAGAGCCAACAAUUUCUGCAUGUGCUGUCUUUCAUACAAAGUACAUUUUAAUUACAUCUGUACUAAAUGAGAUUUAAAUAAUUUAUUUUUACUGAUUUAGAAAGAGCUAUUAAAAUCCAAAUUGAACAAUUCAGUGGUGCUUAGUGGUGGUGCUUAGUAACUGUCAGAAGUGCACAGCACACUGCAGGGUUAAAUCCCCCAAGAACAAGCAAACAAUAUGCUCUGAAUACUGACAAGCUUUUAGAAGACAGUUUAGUAAUGGCCACAGCCAUGAUCUGGUGGAACUACUUGUGAGGCCAGAGAUAAUUCAGCCUCUGUGUGACUUCAUGCUUAAGACUUUUCUGAUCAGGAAUGGCCAAGUGGUGUAAAUUAUGAGUUAUCAGUCUUAGGUCUCAAGGUAUAAAUUACUGUCUGACAGGAAGCAAAAUCUAUAAAUUGAUUUUUUUUAGGGGUAAACUUUAUUUACAGUAGUAAAAAGGCAAGUACUCCAUUUGCUAAGCCACUAUUCUCAGAACACUUACAGCUUCCAUUGAGAAGGUCUGGCAGGACUUUACGUUGCACAGUGUGCUGGGCUCACAACCAAUAAGGCAUGUUGAUUGUAUAUGGAAGAACUUCUGUACUGUGUUGAUCGCAUGUUCCACGGAAAAUGGAUGCAUUUUAAAUUUCACUUUGAAUUGCACUUUUAUUUUUUUCCCCACUGCGGUGUAAAAAAAACCCAGAAAACUAAGAAACUGUUAAAAAUCCAUGCACUAAAAUUAGGCAUUAAGAACUCAUACUCAAAGUUUGUAAGAAUGUUUUGAGUCUUCUACAGCCUCAAAUGAAACGGACUCUUAUGCAUAUCACUGACUGCACAAUCUUUUUCACAUUGGUUGGGUUCUUUUAGCUCUGAAGUGAAGGAUGUCAAAUUCUAACCAUCACACCUUUGCUGUGCAGAAGGGCUUUGGGAAGAGGACCAUGCAGGAAGAACUAUGAUGGAAAGUUAAUUCAAUGGAAUACAACUGCUACGUUAGAACUGAUCAAAGCAGAAAGACUGAAGAUGAUCAUUUGUAGAAAUUGCCUUUGAGCUGGGAACCUUAAUGACUACAACUAGCUAGAAAUUUGGUCUUGCUUUUCAUCCAAAUACAUUACCUCGAUCUCAGUAUUAAUCCUUGCAGCAGCUGACACACAGGUACAUACUGUCUUGCAAGAGAAAGAAACUAUUUUUCUCUGUCCUCCUCCAUUCACAUUACAUUACCUUUCAUCUAAUGCUGAGCCAUCCACAUCACUUUAGCAGGAUACAAUGCAGAAUGGUGGGGCUGCCGGAAGCCAAACUGCUACACUCCUUAUACCUUGGCUUAUAUGAUUAAGUCUUUUAGAAUCAGAACACUGCAGUGUAUAACGAACUUGCAUUAUGUCAAGUGAAAGGGACAGCCAAGUGACAGAAGGUACUGGCAUAAUAUGACACUGCAUUAUAAUGUAGCUCCGGGGAAUAAAAUUCAGGAGAAAUUAUUUGGAUGAAAAAAAUUUGAUCAUAGGCAAGUUUGUGGGGUUUUUUUCUUGGU